AUUGUUUCAUAAUAAAAUUGCUUGACUGAAAACCCUUUUAUAAUUGUCGUUUUUUCUUUUCAGGCCUUGUUCGACAGUGGAAUAAGACCAUCCUCCAAGAUCAGUGAGUUGAAAGAUGAGCAUAUUCAUCACCUCCUGAAGAUGACCAGGGACUUUACAGAAAUCUUCUAUAGGUGUAGAAGAGAUGGAAAGCCCUUAGCCCCCUAUUACAAGGUCUAUGGAAAGCGUAAGUGUGGUCAGUGUGAGGGAAGGGUUAUUAUUUGUCGCCUUGGUGAUGACAGUGACCGGGUUACUUACUACUGUGAACCGUGCCAGACUAACGACCUGAGCAAGCAGAGAAAGCUUCCAUCAAAGAACAGUUUGCUGGGUUGGGUGAAAACAGGAAGUGAUGUCCAUCACGUCUGAUAAUGCUCAAUGGACAUGCACAUAUUGCACAUUGAUCAAUAUGCCAACCAGUAUGUCGUGCAGUGCUUGUCUGAAUGCCAAAACAUCUGGGAAGUCAUCCUGUUCACCAUCAUCUGCUAGUGGGCAAAGUGGAAAUGUUUCUACUUGUGCUUUGCUAUCUAGUAAUGUCCAAAAUGCUCAUAAAGACAACAAAAGAAAGUCUUCAGAUACUUAUAGCUCAGAGGUAAAAACUAAAGUGCCAAAGUUGGAAAGUGAUGUUGGUGGAGCACGUGUAAAUUAUCCAUACAAUUUAAAUCAAACACAGGCAUCACACCAGAACCAAGCACAUGUGCUGGCAGCUCCCCCAGCAAACAGUCAAAAGAAAAGCGGUGUAAAUGGCAAAUCAACAGCUGCUGAAAAGACUAGCAAUCCUCAGAAGGUAGAGUCAGAUUGUAAAAUACCAUCAUGUUCAACACACCAGAAAAAGUGUAGCAUGAAGGAAGUAAGGAAGGAAGGUCAGAACAAAGGGAGAUGGUUCUUCACCUGCAAUGUGCGCACAUGCAAUUUC